GUGUCUCCAUGAGAAUGAGAAAAACACAGGGAGCACCGGACUGGACGGAUGAGCCCCUGUUCCCACUGCUGUCUCCUGAUCAGUGAGAGCAGCGUUGCAAAGCUAAUCCCCACACUGUGCUACACCUGGCAAGAAAGAGACAGCUAUCAGCUGGACACAGCAGCAAGAGCUGAAAUGUGGUGGAAAAGAUACCUCAAAUAUUCCCUUUUUUUGUAUUCCUUUUAGUUGGAUGACUUUUCAUGCCUUUUGCUAGAAUACACUGGUCUGCAAGGUGCUGUCAAGAAAUUGGCCACUAUAAUGAUAUAUGAUAUAAUGGUGAGCUCCCAGCCCCAGGGCAGCAGUGAUUCUUAAGGUUCCAAAACACAUUGUGUCCAGAGUGUGAGUUCUCCAUGUAGCUGAGCCCCAGUGUAAACCAAAGGGCGCUUUUCAAACUGGUGAUGGAAUUCUUAAUUAUGCAGCAUCAAAUGCAGCAGUUCUAAGGAGAAGCAAAUUCUCUCACAAAUUAUGCACAUACAUCAAAACCACCCUCUGUUCCAGAGACAAAUGCCCAAUCAAUCCGAUCUGUUUUGCCAUCUACAGCAGACGCUACAUCAGGCUGUUUGAUUGGUUUUAAUUCGUCUUUCCUCACUGUACUCAGUCAACUUGUGGUUAUCCAGACUAUGGGCAGGGAGCAGGACAAUCUCAAAUGAAGUGGAGCACCGUUGAACAAAGCCACAACAAACUAAUCAGAUAGUUAAAGUAAAUAUUUUUCUGCAUUAGUCUUAGUAAAAACUGGAGCUACGAGGUAGGAAAAGGUCAAAGACAGGAAUGAAAACGUUUUAUUUAUGGUGUAGCACAGUUCAUUUGCAUCUGGAUAGUCUGCCCAUGCAUAACGAAAUGCAGAUGGUGUCUGUAUUGCGAGCUAGGUGAGAUUCAGGGGAAAAGCAAAGCUGAUUUUGUCUCAGUGUUUGCGAGGAUUCCCCUGCAUUUGCAGGUGAUGGAUUCAGAGGGAGCUGUAAUUUACAGCCCUGUCUCCUGGGCAGCCCUUCAGGAGGAAGGAGAACAAGCAUCUAGCCUCGGCUCAUGGCAAAACUUGCUUCCAAAACAUGAGAGGCAGAGCCACAGAGGGGAUUCUCAGCAGAACCAGCUGUGAGAGGAGGAUCAGUUGCAAAGCUUAAAGCAAAGCCACAGCCGUCUGAGUUCAGAUGGUGCCCGGCUUACAGGACACAGCAAAGGCAGUGCUCCCAUCACAGUACUGGGGCUCCUCCAGUGCUCUGUGCACACUGAGGAGAGAGAUAAUGGCUGAAAGAAAUUCUGUGUCUUCAAUAAUCUUUACAGAGAUCUGAUUCUCUAUUACGUUGCUCUGAGUUAUGUGAUGCACAGAAGAAAGAUUGGGUUCCCUCACUCUUCUAUGCCUCCAAACCCAGCUGAAAUGGUUUGCUUUUUUUUUUACCCUCUUUGCUUAAUGGAAAAGGUGCUUAACAGUAGUUUCAAGAUUAGGAAGGAAAUAAGUAUUUAAAAAAGAAACGUAUUCCUCUUGGGUCACUACUAAAAGCUGUUUCAUUAUUGCCUAAAACCAAUGGAAAGAAAGCCAGCAUGUCCUCAGACUCCUAAUACAGCAUCGGAUCUAAUUGAAUCUUUUGCAUCUAUUUUUAAUGAGCAGCUCGUUUGUUUAAUGUGAUGGCUACAUGGUUAUGAGUUUGUUCCCUACUUAGGACAUACAGCUUCUAAAGCAGUGAUAUUUAAUUUUUAUCUCUCAAGGAAUUAUGCGAAACAAGCUGCCGAGAUUGAAAAAAACAAUGAUUUAUUCCUGGUCAAACAGAUUGCAGAGCAGCACAGGCCCUGUCUACCUUGGUGAUGUUCCCAUUGCUGCAGUGUGAAGCCCUCAGGAGCUCACUGACUGCUUCAGCACUGCGUCCUGCCUGCUCCACUCCUGGGCUGUGGCAGUGACGAGCAGAGUGGCUGGGGAACAGCAUCACACUGUUGAUGUGAAUUACUGGAGAAUUACCAUUAUUUCCAGCACAGCUACAGUGUAAUCCCCACAAAUAACUGUACAGCUGAUUCACAUAAACCCUGUUAUUGUCCUUCAGAUGUUUUCUGGCUGUGGUUGUGAGGAGUUCUGUAGGUGUGCAUUAACAAAAUUAAAGCUUUAUAGUUUAGCCAAAGUCAGAAAUCCCACUGAUAACCACUGAUCCAACCCUUGCUGGUUUAUUCACAAGACAGAUUCCAUUUAAGAGAAAGCACAAAUGGGUAAGAAGCCUUUAGCCACUGAAAUUCCAGGGGAUGCACAGGGCUUCAGCCUUCCCAUGGGCUGAGUGGGGCAGGAUCCUGAGGGACAUCCAGAAUGCUCAUACAGGAGAACAGAGACCGCACCAAGCUAGAUGGAUUUCUGUGUAACUGUCCAGUGGGAAAAAGGAACAACAAAAGCCACUUCUACUGUCCUCAUGAUUUGCUCCAGUGAAUGAUGCUGAAAAGGAGUUAUCUGGUUUUCAAGGUGCAUGUUCUGUCCUUCCACCUACCUACCAGUAAGGCACAACAGGGUAACUCAGCCCAAAACUCUGGCUUGGACUGGAGGUAAAACAUCACACUCUGUUGCUUGAAUAACCCACAGUGAAGAUUAGAGAAAUGAACUAUAAAACUGUUUCAGCUUGUCCUCAACGGAGAGGAAAGUAAUGAAAAUAUCAUGAAAGACAAAUGGUAAAGUUAGUUUAAAACUGAUUUAAUGAAAAUAACAGAGGAUGAGUGUUCGUUGCGCACUACUGAUUUAUAUUUUCUAUAUUUCAGCCUUCAUAACCAAAUUCUGUCUCGUUAGCCAUUAGAAGUUUAAUACAGGGUUAUGCAUUCUAUCACAAUCCAAGCAGCUUUCAAUACUUUGAAGGAGCACAGCGCUGCAUUUUGAAAGAUUAGCAAGGGCGUCCUUGGCUGGAUUCUUGCAUAUUAAAAUGUGAUCUUCAAACCCAAGUUUUUCUUGUGGGAUGAGGGGAUGGGGAAUAAUUCAAACCCUCUCUCCCUUUUUUUCUUUCAUUGAACUUGGCUUGACGUAAAACUACGCCAAACUUGGAACAAAAGGGAUAACGGUUUACAAAGAAUUAGCUGUGAAAUGAGUGGAUCUUGUGAAGAUGAAACUUUCCAAAAUUAGCUGAGGUUGUUUUUUUUGUUUUUUUUUCUUUUGUUAAUUCUAUAUUCUUUGUCUUUCAGCUGCUUGCGGAUUCUAGAAAGAACGAGAUAAUUUUUCCCACUUCUUCCUCUCAAUGUUUUCCAUCGCAUAAAUAAUACAUAGCAAUAGCAAUAUUGGUUUUAUUUGAAGGAAAAAAAAAGAAAGAAAUGGAAUCUGCCUUGAAGACAGAGCCAGGCUGGAGGUGGCCAGAAUGAGGAUGAGGGUGAUGCACCACAACGAAGGCCUCAUGUUCCAUAGUGAGAACCACAAAGCGGCCACACCAUCCUCGGCCAGACGUGCUGGAGGAACACCAGUUAAGAAAUACACGUGGAUGCACAACCUUUUAGGUGAGCAAAAAUAAGCAGAAGUCCUUUGUAAAACAGGAGGUGUAACACAAACACAGCCCUGAGCUGCCCUGAAUGUCUUUGCAGUGACUCAGCACCGAAACUGAGCCUUUCGGACCAGAUAGCUCAGUCUCCUGUGACUCAUCCCCAAAACAACAGUGAGGCUGCCAGAUGCAAAGGGGCAUUGCGACAAAGGUUCUAGGCAGCACUCAGGAGCCUGAGAGCAAUCCUCCCUCUCUUUAGAGGGAAAGGCAGCAAUUUUAGGUCCCCAAAACUAACGUGGGCUGUAUACGCACCUGGAAAAGUGCGUGACUUUGUUUCUGAGGGGUUGCUGCAAUGGUCAACCAGGGCUAAGUGCAGCUAGCUAGUAAUUUAGAGCACUAGAGCACCUGAUUGCAGUGACAGAGUAUGGAUUCAGAGCCCUGGUGGUUGACAGCAAUGUCCUCAAUCUUUUUAGCUGCAUAAAUAAGUAAACAGACAAUGCUUUCCUCCAAAACUGAAUGGACAUUUUCAACACAUGGUCAAGGAACAGACCCCCUCUCAAAGUUAUUUCCCAUCCACAUGUUCAGGACUCCCAAGUACCACAGGAUCCUGCUCCUCAUGUCUCUGCAUCUUCUCUUCCACUUCUGUUGCCAUAAAGCAGCUGCAAGCACUAAGUGAUGUUCUGCACCACUGGUCUUCUCAUGAGCAAUGUGGAUUUGCCUGUCCUCAGCAACUGGAGAUGUGGUCUGACUUCAGUCAAUUGAUUUUUGAUGAGGAUCGCAGCCACUUACCCAGGCUGGAAUUGGAUGCGCUGGGAGUGUCUUGGUCUGUGAAUGAACAAUUGGACUAACAGUAAGGACACAAAGGCAGCAGAUUCUGGGCUGUUGCAGGUAGCAGGAGCAGUCAAUCACCUGCAUGAAGGGUUUGUGCUACAGUAAAUCCUCCUGUGCUGUGGAGUGAAACCAUGCUGCUCCCAGCCCCAGCAGUAACUUGUUUCCUGAUGAAACUCCACUGGCCUCUGGUUUCCCAUGGGAAACCAUUGCACUGUAGCUCUGUAAUCUGUGAUCAAAAUGAAGGAACGCAACCUUGGCAAAGGGAGUGCUUUGGGAUGUGAACUCCCCCAGUGCCCACUUGCUGUUCUGCACUCUUACUCUGAUGUAUGAGCAUUUAAAAAACAGACUCUUUUUGCUGGUCAGUAGCAGCUCAAAGUCUCAUAGAAUCACAGGAUCGUAGAAUGACUGAGAUUGGAAGGGAUCUUAGAGAUCACCCCUAUCAUGGACAGAGUUGCCAACCACUAGAUCAGGCUGCCCAGGGCCCCAUCCAGAGAUGGGGCAUCCACAACUUCCUUGGGCAGCUUUUUCCAGUGCUUCACCACCUUUAUCGCCAAAAGCUUUUCCUUACACCCAAUCUCAAUCUCCCCUCUUUUAGUUUGAAACCAUUUCUCUUGUCCUAUCACAACAGACCUCGCUAAAGAGUCUGGCCUUCUCUUUCUUACAGCCCCUUUAGGUACUGAAAGGCCACUCUCAGAGGCCUGUCUAGAUCUCUGGGUGGCAUUCUGUCCCUUGACCACAACACACAGCUUGGUGUCACCCACAAACUUGCUGUGAGUGUGCUCAAUCCCACUGCUGAUGUCACUGACAAAGAUGUUAAAAGUAUUUGUCCCAGUAACGACUCCCAGAGGACUCCACUCAUCGCUGAUCUCCACCUGAACACUGAGCCAUUGAGCACUACUGUCUGGGUACCAUCUCACCACCAGUUCCUUGAUCACAGAAUGGUCCAUCCAUGACCAUUAUCCAAGACCUUGGUUCCAUUGCAAAUCCACUGGCAGAGGAGCCCCUCGAACAAAGCACCGCCCAUGCCAUAAGGGUGAUUCCUUUCCUAUGAUGUUUGUGCCAUGCUAGGAGAAGAGUCUGGGCACAGCACACUCCAGAUGAUCAUAGACGUGGAGAAAUUGGCUGCAUCUGUCCUGCUGCCCUGUGAUGGGGUUUUGGCCCCUUUUAACCCCAAACCAGCAUGAUCUCACAAAUGACAAGCAGGGCAGGACAGAUGGGUGCCUUUUCAUAGCCUUCACUAGCACUGUGGGUAGUCCACCCUGGUGGAGGAGGGGCAAACAUACUGCCUACCAUGGCAAAUAGCAGACAAAUAAACACAGGCACUUUUCAGGCUCUGAUGAGUAGGGCUCAUCCUCUCCAGAGAAUAAUCUCCCAGAAAUCGACACAUAACAUCAAAAGACAAAUGAGAAUGAAAAGGCCUCUCAAAUUUAAUAGCCUCCAUGAAUUACACUGCCUUUUGUCUAUAUGAGCUGUCACUCUUUCCAUUAAAGAGUCACUGUAAUCAGUAAUCCAUUUUAAGAUUUAUAGACGUGGAGAUUUAUAGACUUACUGUUCUUAUCUGCUUUUUUUUUUCUUUUCUAUUUUUUUUUUUCCCCCAUGCAUCUCUGUGGACUCCCAAAGGAUGAGAUUCUGUCCUAAAACCCUGCUCUGCAUCUGGAGAAAUAAAAUGGUGCUGGGGUGGAGGCCUCUGAACUGGAGGCCAACAAAAGCAAUAAUGCUGAUAAAGACAGCAGGAAUGAUAAUAUGGAGUUGAGGAAGAACAAGAAAGAAAGGAUAAAAGAUGAGCAGGAGAAAAUUAGAAAGAAGAAUCCAGGUUUCACAGAUUCUCACUAUAUAAGUUCCACGAGUCCUUGAAAGAAAGGAAAUAAUUAGGUUAUUUUACCUAUUCGUUCAUUUUUAUCUUGAAACAAGAACCCUGUAUCCUUGAAGUGAACAUAUUCAGAUCCAGCAUUCACGUACAAGAAGGCCACUUUACUCUGCUCACAAUAAAGAAUGUACUCAGGUGGGAGUAUGCUGACAUUACAAAGUCUCUUCAAACAGCCGAAGGAAUUUCGGUAUAAAUGAGCCUCAAGCCACCUGCUUUGCAUAUUUUUAUCUGAUUCUGGUGCAGUUGAACAGUUUGCUCUGAUAGUAAUUGAAUAUCCUUAUGUGGAUUAAUACCUCCAGCACAGAAGAAUUUGAAUAUGUUCGUGCUGCUUGAAACCAGUCUGCAUGUGCAACCUGAUUCUGGGUAAAAUUGCAAAUGCUUACGUGACUUAGAAAUCAGAGCACUAUUCAAAAGCUUCUAACUCAUUCUGAGUCCAGUUUUGGCAAGUCUGUGUGAGCAACAGAUUUACUUACCCUCUAGAUAUCACACUGACAGCAGGUAAUAUUUGAGACAACUCUGUCAAAGUAGCAUUGUACGAAAUUCCUUAGGUAACCUCGAACGCUCCUGCUACGUAUUGCUUGGUAUUUUUGUACCUGCUUGUCUCUAAGGAGAACUAGGACAAAGCCUCUUCUGAGUCUUGUUCCCGUGCUGAAGAAAGCUGCUAUAUUUGGUGAGCUAUGGAAGAAAAUGCUUUGGUACAAAUGGGUAUGGUGUAGCACAAUGGAAAUCUAUACGCAACAUUGUCUCUGUGUAUCAAAUAUAAGGCUCUCUUCAGAAAUGCAGAUUUUCUUACAGAACAGAGAACUGUAGGGACUGGCUGUGUAAUGCAUUCUAAUUAGCCAUUCACAUCGUAUUGGAAACUGUCUGUGCCAAUCCUUCACAACAGGCACAUGUGAUGGCUGUCAAAAUAAUUAUUGGCACAAACUUCUAUUUUCCAGUUUGAGACAGUGAGAAACUUCAGUGGUGGAUUAAUUUUUCUGUGCUCUUGGGAAAAGCAGAAGAGCACUGAGACUCAUUUUAAAUUGAUCCUACUCAAGCUGUUCAGUAGAUAGGGUUAUGACCUGUGAAUUCAAGGGCUGCUUUCCUGUGCUCUCUUGUAUUACGCAGGAAGGAAACCACGAAUUCAAAUGUUAGAGUCUCCUCCUUGAACAGUUUCCCAAAUAAGUGCCCUGGGUUCAUUGCCUUUGAUAAUCCUUUGGCUGGAUGUCAUUAAUGAGUCUGUAUUUUUCUCCCAGCAGCAUUGCCCUCCUGCGAAAUAAUUUCCAUAAUCUCAGAAUCUUAGGAUCAUAGAAUCAUUAAUUCUAUGUUGGAAUUAAUGGUUGGAAAUGACCAUUAAUGGUCUUCCAAUGGUUGGAAAAGACCUCUAACGUCCAACCUCCUUCCUACUACCAAUACUGCCCACUAGGCCAAGACCCUCAGUGCCACGUCUACUCUUUCCUUUAACACAUUCCUCUACCUCCCUGGGCAGCCUGUGCUAAUGCAUCACCGCUCUUACUGAGAAGAAAUUCUUCCUAAUAUCCAACCGUUACCACAUUUUGAGCAUCCAGAGGAUGUUUGUGUUGUUUUGUGGCGUAAGGACUAAUAGGAAAACAGCGUACAGUUUGCACGUUGGUCCAAUGCCCCUUUUGUGUCAGGAGGGCUGUACGUGGCAGCUGCAUGGCUCUGCAGUGGAAUUGCCAGGUCAGGGCCCAAAUCAAUGGCUGAGCACCAACUGUGACUAACCCAGGGAGCUCAGGUGCAAGCAAUGCAUCUCAGUGAUUGAUACGGCUGGAGCUUAGAUCCACCCCUCCUCUCACUCAUUUAAGGACUAGAAGCUGGGAGAGUGGCAUCUCUUUGUGGCUGUGCUCCUUUUGAGCUAUUGCUGGUCAUUGGAAGGGAUUUUCAGCUGAUCUGCCUGAAGGUGGAGAGCUUAUUGUUCAGGAUGUUAUAGCAGUACCUUGAGGCUAUAAUCAAAUGGUCUUGAACUGUAAGAGCCUGCCUGCCUCCUGUAAGGCAGUGCAGCUGACAGCACUGAAGAGCUGAGAGG